rnacentral:lncRNA from 1 species
UUUUUUUUUACUCAACUUCAACUUGAUAUUAACCAACAAGGGAUACAAGAUUUAACACCACAAGAGUGCUUAAGCCGCACUUACAAUAAAGAGAUUUAGUAACACCCAGGAUCACUACUUGGAUCCUACACUAUCCAAUCUAUAUCUUUGUUGUGAUUUUCAUCUCAAUGAACACAAACUUCUCCUACGACCCAGAAGAA